ACAGCAGUCGCCGCGGGAAUACGUAGGUCCCGAGCGUUGUCCGGAUUUAUUGGGCGUAAAGCGAGCGCAGGCGGUUAGAUAAGUCUGAAGUUAAAGGCUGUGGCUUAACCAUAGUACGCUUUGGAAACUGUUUAACUUGAGUGCAAGAGGGGAGAGUGGAAUUCCAUGUGUAGCGGUGAAAUGCGUAGAUAUAUGGAGGAACACCGGUGGCGAAAGCGGCUCUCUGGCUUGUAACUGACGCUGAGGCUCGAAAGCGUGGGGAGCAAACAGGAUUAGAUACCCCUGUAGUCCCUGUCUCUUAUACA
rnacentral:rRNA from 1 species